GGGAAAUUUGGGUUAGCUGACCAAACAACGGUUCUGAUUGGGAUUUUGUAAUACCAAAUGGAGAAAUUGAAGGAAUUUCGGGAAGAUUGAAGAAACCCAGCAGCGAAAGUGGAGUUGGGUGAAAGUAGGAUUUGGUUUUGGGUUGGAUUCCAAGGAGGGGAUUUGGAAUUGAAUGAUGAGAGGAUUUUCUGGGAAGAAGAGAAAAAGGGGUUCGAGAAGAAGAAGAGAAGGAAGAAGAGAAGUGAAGAUGAAGAUGAAGAAGAAGGACGAAACGACAUCGUUUGCAAGCU
rnacentral:misc_RNA from 1 species